UACGUAGGGUGCAAGCGUUGUCCGGAAUUAUUGGGCGUAAAGAGCUCGUAGGCGGCUUGUCACGUCGACUGUGAAAACCCGAGGCUCAACCUCGGGCCUGCAGUGGGUACGGGCAGACUAGAGUGCGGUAGGGGAGACUGGAAUUCCUGGUGUAGCGGUGAAAUGCGCAGAUAUCAGGAGGAACACCGGUGGCGAAGGCGGGUCUCUGGGCCGUAACUGACGCUGGAGGAGCGGAAAAGCAUGGGGAGCGAACAGG
rnacentral:rRNA from 1 species